rnacentral:rRNA from 1 species
UACAGAGGUGGCAAGCGUUGUUCGGAAUUACUGGGCGUAAAGGGCGCGUAGGCGGUCUUGUAAGUUCCGUGUGAAAUCCCUCGGCUCAACUGAGGAACCGCACGGAAAACUGCUUGGCUUGAGUUCGAGAGAGGGAAGCGGAAUUCCGGGUGUAGCGGUGAAAUGCGUAGAUAUCCGGAGGAACACCGGUGGCGAAGGCGGCUUCCUGGACCGACACUGACGCUGAGGCGCGAAAGCUAGGGGAGCAAACGGG